UCUUCCAGAGGAAGAGGUUCAACAUUUUUCGACAUUUGAUGCGCGGAAAAAAGCACCACAAAGAAACAAAAGCAUCCUUUGCGUCCCUGCAAAUGUAAAUAAUCUUGCAACUAGAAGAAAUGAUAGAUUUAGGUAAACAAGUGUAAGGAACAUGAGUAGAUACCAGAGGAAUUGCCAAGUCCCGAUUACUUGGGUUCUGAGCAAGGUCAUAUUCCAUAAAAGGAACACAGUCAUGUGGCAUCUUGGAAAGUAAAGAACUAGUUGUUGAACCACUUAAACGGGAUCGUGUACAAAUAGCAAAAGUGAGGGCCUUAAGCCAAGUUGUGCCAGUUUUUGGAAAACUGGCGAGAAAUAUAUCAGUGGAUUGAGGAUUGAAGCGCUCUUGAACAGACAUGAUUCCUUCCAAGAAGGAGGGAUCGUACCAAAAGCAUUGGUACAGGUAAUAAUCAUCCCCCCUCAAGCCUUUAACUUUUGGAAGGGUGGACAUCACUUCAUUGUAAUUUUUAGCUUCAUUUUUCCUCUCAGCAUUUCCAUCAGAAUCCAAGAUUUGGGAGGAAGGCAAAGAGGAUUCCAUGAAAGUUAAAAAAGAAAUAUAAGGUAGAAUGAAAGGCCAUGGCAGCUAUUUGUAGCGAGUUGAGAGCUGGUUUAAUUUUUGGCACCAUCAGCUAU